GACUGGGGGAAUUGAUUGGUGCUUGCAUCAUGAUUUACAUUUGAGUGAGUGGCGAACUGGUGAGUAACACGUGGGAAACCUGCCCAGAAGCGGGGGAUAACACCUGGAAACAGAUGCUAAUACCGCAUAACAACUUGGACCGCAUGGUCCGAGCUUGAAAGAUGGCUUCGGCUAUCACUUUUGGAUGGUCCCGCGGCGUAUUAGCUAGAUGGUGGGGUAACGGCUCACCAUGGCAAUGAUACGUAGCCGACCUGAGAGGGUAAUCGGCCACAUUGGGACUGAGACACGGCCCAAACUCCUACGGGAGGCAGCAGUAGGGAAUCUUCCACAAUGGACGAAAGUCUGAUGGAGCAACGCCGCGUGAGUGAAGAAGGGUUUCGGCUCGUAAAACUCUGUUGUUAAAGAAGAACAUAUCUGAGAGUAACUGUUCAGGUAUUGACGGUAUUUAACCAGAAAGCCACGGCUAACUACGUGCCAGCAGCCGCGGUAAUACGUAGGUGGCAAGCGUUGUCCGGAUUUAUUGGGCGUAAAGCGAGCGCAGGCGGUUUUUUAAGUCUGAUGUGAAAGCCUUCGGCUCAACCGAAGAAGUGCAUCGGAAACUGGGAAACUUGAGUGCAGAAGAGGACAGUGGAACUCCAUGUGUAGCGGUGAAAUGCGUAGAUAUAUGGAAGAACACCAGUGGCGAAGGCGGCUGUCUGGUCUGUAACUGACGCUGAGGCUCGAAAGUAUGGGUAGCAAACAGGAUUAGAUACCCUGGUAGUCCAUACCGUAAACGAUGAAUGCUAAGUGUUGGAGGGUUUCCGCCCUUCAGUGCUGCAGCUAACGCAUUAAGCAUUUCCGCCCUGGGGGAGUACGGCCGCCAAGGGCUGAAACUCAGAGGAAAUUGGACGGGGGCCGCACAAGCCGGUGGGAGCAUGUGGCUUUUAAGUUCGGAAGGCCUAUAACCGCCGAAAGA
rnacentral:rRNA from 1 species